UACGUAGGGGGCAAGCGUUGUCCGGAAUUAUUGGGCGUAAAGCGCGUGUAGGCGGUCCGGUAAGUCGGCUGUGAAAGUCCAGGGCUCAACCCUGGGAUGCCGGUCGGUACUGCCAUGACUAGAGUUCGGUAGGGGAGUGUGGAAUACCUGGUGGAGCGGUGAAAUGCGCAGAUAUCAGGUGGAACACCCGUAGCGAAGGCGGCACUCUGGGCCGGAACUGACGCUGAGGAGCGAAAGCGUGGGGAGCGAACAGG
rnacentral:rRNA from 1 species